rnacentral:pre_miRNA from 1 species
GAAGUUGCCCGUGUCUUUUUCGCUGUAUUUGUGACGAAACAUUCGCGGUGCACUUCUU